rnacentral:lncRNA from 1 species
AUUAGAUAUGUGUGUGAUAUAAUCUUGUCAGCCAGCACCAUUGAUACUCUAACAAUAUUUUAACCCAUGCUGUGUGGAAUUUCUCUAGUAAAUGGAGUUAAACACUGUCAAAUACUUUAACAAGCAUGAAGAAUCACAGAUAAGUGUUUCCGGGGGACUAAAUUACUGCCGCACCGCGCCAAACUACAAACUAUAAAUAAAAACGCCUGUCAACUCCACCGCAAGAAAGAGAUAAAUAUCUAAAAUGCCUGUGAAGAGAGCCCUUCAGUUACAAGACAAAGAAAAUAGCCCAGCUAAGAGGCAAGCACCAAACAGGGACUAUUCCCCUAUGACUGGAACCCAAUUGAUGAGUCCCACGACAAAAACUGCAGCAGGUAAUUCCAGAGCAGGUGGGAAGAAAACGAAUACCCCUCAAACAAAAGAGCCCAUGACAGAUGCUGAGAGAAUUCUGUUCCUCAGGUCUAAGGUGAAAAAAUCAUUCAAGGACCUUAUGAAAUACAGGCAACAGCUGGAAGCAUUAGUGCCAGUAGAGGGCAGUAGUGAGCUGAGGAGUCUUCUGCUGAUGAGUCCUGCUGAUCUACAAACUGAACUCAAGAGACAUGAGAAUCUGUGUGCUAAAAUUGCAUCUUGUGCACAUAGAGCAGACACAAACAAGGGCCAUUUCCAAGGGUUGAAACAGACUGGGAGCUCUUAUGAAUUUCUGAAGGCAAUCUUAAGCCGCUGAGGGAUCGUUUCUUGAUGUACGACAUGGGCGGCUGUUCAAGUUGAGAAGAACAAGACCAACAUUUCAGAAUUCAGCAAUUUGGUCUGUUCGCUAUGGGCUAAGCUUUAGAAGAGUUUCAAGAUGUGUAACUAAGUACGGCAAGUACGGUUAAUAUUAGCACCAUCUAUUAAAAUUGUAUCAUGCACUCUGGUAUUGUGACUUGCUGUUUGUUCUAGAGUAUAUCAAGUAAGACAGUCAAACCAAAACCUGUUAAUUCUCCUCUCAUUCUGUGUCUGUGUGUGGCUCCAGACCUCGCUCAGGCUGUAACACAGUAGCCCCUUUGUGACCUGAUAACAUUUAUAGUUGUAAUGGAUUUUUUUUAAUGGCCGUCAUUAACUCGCAC